UACAGAGGUGGCAAGCGUUGUUCGGAAUUACUGGGCGUAAAGGGCGCGUAGGCGGUCUUGUAAGUCCUGUGUGAAAUCCCUCGGCUCAACUGAGGAACUGCACGGGAAACUGCUUGGCUUGAGUUCGGGAGAGGGAAGCGGAAUUCCGGGUGUAGCGGUGAAAUGCGUAGAUAUCCGGAGGAACACCGGUGGCGAAGGCGGCUUCCUGGACCGACACUGACGCUGAGGCGCGAAAGCGUGGGGAGCAAACAGG
rnacentral:rRNA from 1 species